rnacentral:rRNA from 1 species
UACGGGGGGAGCAAGCGUUGUUCGGAUUUACUGGGCGUAAAGAGCUCGUAGGCGGCUUGUUGCGUCCGCUGUGAAAACCCGCAGCUCAACUGUGGGCUUGCAGCUGAUACGGGCAGGCUUGAGUUCGGUAGGGGAGACUGGAAUUCCUGGUGUAGCGGUGAAAUGCGCAGAUAUCAGGAGGAACACCGGUGGCGAAGGCGGGUCUCUGGGCCAUUACUGACGCUGAGGAGCGAAAGCGUGGGGAGCGAACAGG